rnacentral:rRNA from 1 species
AUGGCGGCUGGGGCGGCUAGGGUCGCGGAGCCGAGGAAGCCGGAGGCGACAUCGUCGGGCUGGCAUGGGGCGACCACGCCGCCACGUUCCUCAUGCUGGAGACGAUGGCAACCACACCGCCGUGUUCCUCAUGCUGCUGGUCGCCAAUGCAACGGACAAGAACCAUGUAGAAAGGAUGUCGAACGGUCAAUUGGGGUUCUCCAAGCUCGUUUCGCCAUUAAUUAUGGUCAUGCACACUUCUGGGAUCAAAAGGACUUGUGGCGCAUCAUGACUGUGUGCGUUAUAUUGAAUAACAUGAUCAUAGAGGACGAGAGGGAACAACUGCCUAACUAUCGCUAUGAGAAUGAGGGGAACAAAGUUUAUAUACCAGCAGUUCAGCCACAAAGGGAUGAACGACGAUUGCAUGAUUUCUUGAGAUACGUCAACUGA